UCAGACUGGUCAUGGGUAGACCUAUCUGGGGUUUGAUCGAUGCCACUCCUGGUUUCAGGAGCACCCUUCAUAAUAAACCUAGAAAUUCAGUAUUAUAAAGUUUAAUAAAAAACAACUUUUAACAAUGGAUCUCUUGGUUCUCGCAUCGAUGAAGAACGUAGCAAAGUGCGAUAACUAGUGUGAAUUGCAUAUUCAGUGAAUCAUCGAGUCUUUGAACGCAGCUUGCACUCUAUGGUUUUUCUAUAGAGUACGCCUGCUUCAGUAUCAUCACAAACCCACACAUAACAUUUGUUUAUGUGGUAAUGGGUCGCAUCGCUGUUUUAUUACAGUGAGCACCUAAAAUGUGUGUGAUUUUCUGUCUGGCUUGCUAGGCAGGAAUAUUACGCUGGUCUCAGGAUCUUUUUCUUUGGUUCGCC
rnacentral:rRNA from 1 species